GGGCAGCCAGGCCCCUUGCUGACUCUUUUCUAGGCUGCUAUAAAGAGGAGUGGAAAGUAUGUAAAUCACUGGGUGUAUGUUGGUGGUUGUCAAUGAACUAAAAAAUCUGAAGAUCCAGGAUUUUUUCUGCCUAUGCAUAAGAAAUUAAGGACAGGUCAGAGGAAACGAAUAGUAAUGCUUAUCAUGUGCUAGGAAUUUCUCAAAACAUUUAAGAUUAUUUAAUCCACACAGAGGCUCUGCGAGGCAACUGCUCCUAUCAUCGAUUUGUUUAACAGAGGAGGAAAUACCCGGGCUCAGUCAGUAACCCUAGUUUCACAGCCAGUAGUGGCCGUGCUGCAUCUCAAGCCCAGGCUGCCUCCAGCUGGAGGUCAGAUGUCCCACCAUUAUGCCACGCUGCCUCUUAGCAAGCGGCUACUGAUUUCUGGGGUGAGCCAGGCAUUGCCCCAGGAUACGGUAGUGAAUACAGCUUUUGCCCUUACGAAUCAUGCGUUCUGGUGAGGAGAGGUGGGAAACAGAGGCAAAAAAAAGUUCAGCUGUCCUAAGGGCCACGAAGGCGAUAAAGCAGAGUCCUGUCAUGGAGAGUGUCUGGGAGAGGCAGCUGCAUUAGAACGAGAACCGCCUUCUGAGGAAGUGACAUUUGAGCUGAGGUCCUCUAAGAAAAAGGAGGUAGCCCUGCAGGAUUCGAGGAAGAGCCACGCCAGGAAGAGGGCAUGCUCUGCGGGAAGGCGGGGGAAGCAGAAGCCCAGGGGCCGAGCGAAGGAGAGGGAAAGGAGAGGCGCCCCAGGGGAGACUGCGCUCCCAGCGGGAGGAAAGAGCAGCGGGGCUCUAAGCACGGGGCACGCGAUCUGAGUCGCCGCCAGGGUCACUGCGGGGGCUGCGGGAAGACACCGUGAGCACGAGCACGAGCGGGGUGGUCGGUGGCAGCGGAGGGAGGAGGCCCAUGUAGGAGGCCGCGGCAGCUGCUCCCGGGGGAUGUGGCUCUGGAAGAGGCGGCGGCCUGCGAGGAUUGUGAAAAGUGUUAAGGAGCAAUGUGAGCUGAAGACUUGGUUCAGGAGAAGGGGAGGCAUUUUACGUCGUGAAUCCCGUGGCGAGCAGCUUGAGCACUAACUAGCCCAUUGUUUGCCAACGCCCUUCCCUGCCCUGGCGCCGGCUGCACAGGAGCGCUCUGACCUUCUCUGCGCAGCACCCCCGCUGUCGCGGGCGCUUCUGUUGUCCAGAUGCAUUUCUGCUCUGCGCUGACCUCCGUCGGAUUGCAGAUCCCCUCUCUGCUGUGACGCGAGGCCCGCGGCCUGCCCCGAUGGUCUCAGCCAGACUUACACACCCAGACCCACCAGGCUGCCUGGCAAGGCGCGGCUGCCUUUGGACCGAGUCUCAUCCGCCUAAAGUUCAGAAGCUAAGGGUUAUAAAUGAAAGUAGGUGUUUCCUGUUGUGUGUGUAUGUAGACACUAAAGAUUAAUACCUUGGUUCUUGUCCUUCCGUAUAAAGAACUGUUCUUUAGAGAUUAAUGGGUAAUUGUGUAAGAGCAUAGCGAGGCCAUCGUGUUACGCUAAAGGGCGCCAGCCCCACCUCUGUUUGACUACUCGCUACUCUACACGUACUGUAAAAAAUUCACGUGCUUUCCUGAUUUAUGGCCUCCACUUAUGUGCUCCCUGAUAGCUUGAUAAAUUAAAACUUUGUUCUAUGAGUUUCUCUCCAGGAACAGGCUGACCACAGGGAAACACACCUACAAGGCAUCCAUCACAGCUGACAGAAGAAUGGAACAAUCAAAGGCCCUGGAGUCUGUCACGCCUGAAGGAAACCCUCUUCUUACUGCCCAUUUUCCCUGCGUAACUGGCUCAAGAUUCUGUAAUCCUUGAAGAUGGGUUUUUGAGACAUUAGUCUGCCAUCAUCUCGAUUAUGCUGGCUAAUCUAACUAAACUUCCUUUCUGGAUCCUAACUCAUGACUGAUGGGCUCAAAUCGUUGUGAAGAGAGCGAGUCCACUGCUCGCUGUCAGCGGUUCAUGAACUAUUUAUCAUUACAGAUUUUAGUGUGAGUUGUCUUUUUCCAAAAUCACAAUCACUGUACUUAUCUCUUAAUGUGUAAAAGGACAGUUGUCUUGACUGAGGAGGAUUGGAGUCCUAGUCUUUUAGUUCUUUUUUGUUGCUGUUGUCUUCUCGUUCGGUCACCCAAGACCAGAGGGGAGACAUGCUUCUUGUGUCCUGGUUGGUUGACGCAGCCCGUAACCCAUGUGGCCAUCUUCAGGGUGCACUAUGCUCUCAGGUGCUGACUAGGUGCUAAAUAAGUGGGACUAAGUUCUUCCCCCACCACGUGUAUAUUCCAACUGGGAAGGUUGUAUUCUAGAAAAUUUUGAAUGAUGAGAUGUAGGAAAAGGA